CUGCUAAAGCAAAGGGACGCCCGUUCAAAAGGGAAGCUAACAAAAUUAAAGGAUAUGAUUGGCUCCUUGACUCUCCAAGAGAGAUGAGACAAUGUUUUUGAUGAUCCCACGGAAGCCACUACUGCCGUAAAGGAAGCUAUUGGAGUGGCAACCACUUCCAUAGUACAUACCUACUCAAUUAUCAAUCGAAAAUUCUCUUGCUGACACUACACAAUAUAUCAAUAUAUCAUUGAAAAUUAUCAAUGUUCUCCUUUACUCAUAAACCAAACCUAGUCCUUGAUCUGCCUUUACUUUGUUGUCACUUGUCAUUCUCAUAUAUAUGAUGCAAUGUAACUGAAGCCCAUUUUGUAACACAUGGGCCUAAGAAGACCGGAGGCAUCGUUUUAAUGUGACUGUGCUAACUUGAAGACAUCGGUACUGCUUCAAUUAUAAGCUGUAACCAACGAUCUCAGGAAUC